rnacentral:lncRNA from 1 species
GGCUCGCCUCGCACGUGUGAGACCUUGGGUUCGAUUCUCAGCACCACAUAAAAAUAAGUAAGUGAAAUAAAGGUAUUGUGUCCAACUACAACUAAAAAAUAAUUAUUUAAAAAAAUGGGGGUGGCGAUAACUCACCCAAGAUAAGAGACAAUCAAAGGGGAAGGAUCCAGGGGACCUGCUCAGAGGACAGUGACAGGAGUUGACUCAGAUGCUUGGCAACUACAGGCUGAUCACAUCCUUAUACAGUACCUGGGACUGAAGGGAACACCUCCAUCACCUCCCCAUUCUGAGCAGGGAGCCCGUGUCUGUUCUCUAAAAGCAAUGAGGAAAAACAGCAAAAAAUCCUACUUGGGUCCAACCAAUUGAGAAAAUCUUAAAUGUUUUGUGACUUUUAAGCAUCAGCUAUUGUCCAUUGAAUCAGUGAACUAUCACAUGAUAAUUUGCAAUUUGUGCUUUGCUUUUGCCUGGCAUGAUUUUAAAUAAGCAUUGUAAAGCUGCUUUAGUUUUUCCGGGAUAGAAAACAGAUUCUUGACUUGCACAGGGUUACAUCUCAAUAAUCCCAUUGUAAAUUAAAAAUAUCGGCAAGUCAAAAUUGCAUUUACUACACCUGACAUACUGAAUGUCACAGGUCAGCAACACUGUGGGAGAGUGUCUCACCUUGUCAUUGUGUGGCUGACUGGGAGCUGUGGCUUGCUUCCAUUGCUCAGCAUUGCAAGAGGACCAUAAUGCAUAUCACGAGCCCAGGAAAAGGUAAACAUUCCAGGGUUGGGGAUGUAGCUUGCCUAGGAUGCUUGAG